GCUCAGAUUGAACGCUAGCGGGAUGCCUUACACAUGCAAGUCGAACGGCAGCACGGACUUCGGUCUGGUGGCGAGUGGCGAACGGGUGAGUAAUGUAUCGGAACGUGCCUAGUAGCGGGGGAUAACUACGCGAAAGCGUAGCUAAUACCGCAUACGCCCUACGGGGGAAAGCAGGGGAUCGCAAGACCUUGCACUAUUAGAGCGGCCGAUAUCGGAUUAGCUAGUUGGUGGGGUAACGGCUCACCAAGGCGACGAUCCGUAGCUGGUUUGAGAGGACGACCAGCCACACUGGGACUGAGACACGGCCCAGACUCCUACGGGAGGCAGCAGUGGGGAAUUUUGGACAAUGGGGGAAACCCUGAUCCAGCCAUCCCGCGUGUGCGAUGAAGGCCUUCGGGUUGUAAAGCACUUUUGGCAGGAAAGAAACGUCGUGGGUUAAUACCCCGCGAAACUGACGGUACCUGCAGAAUAAGCACCGGCUAACUACGUGCCAGCAGCCGCGGUAAUACGUAGGGUGCAAGCGUUAAUCGGAAUUACUGGGCGUAAAGCGUGCGCAGGCGGUUCGGAAAGAAAGAUGUGAAAUCCCAGAGCUUAACUUUGGAACUGCAUUUUUAACUACCGAGCUAGAGUGUGUCAGAGGGAGGUGGAAUUCCGCGUGUAGCAGUGAAAUGCGUAGAUAUGCGGAGGAACACCGAUGGCGAAGGCAGCCUCCUGGGAUAACACUGACGCUCAU
rnacentral:rRNA from 1 species